rnacentral:lncRNA from 10 species
AUUUAUUUCAGCCUGACAUCAGGAGAAGAUCGUUGGAGAGACUUGGAACCAGGUCUGAGAAGAUGAACUGGUGGUAUUCUCCUGCUGUGUUCCUGAAAUCAGCGUCUGGUAUUCAUGCUCUCGUUGCCAAAUGAUGGAUCCCGGGCAUUUCAGCUGACCUAUGGAUAAUCCAGCCCCAGCCCCAGCCCCAGCCCCAUUUUACAGAUGAGGAAACUGGGACUUACUGAAGUCAUGUAUUUAAUGAAGGGUUAAACUAGGAUUUGAACUGAAUCUCUUGAUCUUAAGGCUGAUGGUCUCAUUUGUUCCAUCAUGCAGCUGCCUCAGGCCUGUGCUGUAUCCCUUUAUGCCACACAAGAGAGAUAGCUCCCUCCACUUCAGUCUAUAAUACAAACGAAGAUCAGCCAUUUGUUGCAUCCGAGGUAAACUGGCCUGGAUUUGUGGUCUGAGUUCACCAUAUUUCCACAGUAUGACAUUGAAGAAGAAAGGAAUUUUACUUGUCACUUGAUAGUUAUUGUCUCAUGACACUAAGCUAUGACUUGGAGACAAAGGCCAAGUCAAGCCCCACUGUGAGAUUCAAUGAUUCCUUGGUGGAGAAAGAAGCAUUUGAUGUGGAGCCUGACACACCUGAAGGGAGGGGAAGAAAUAUCUAGCACAGCUGCUUCCGAAUUCCCUGGCUGGUCUGAGAACUGUGUGAAGCUGUGAUGGAACCCCCUGGAGAUGUUCUGCAGCUCCAGGCCUCACUUCACAGACUCACUGCAGGGAACAAGAUGUCUCCAGAGUUAAAUACAUGAAUUAAAUGCAAUUUCAAUGGAUGUCCCAAUGUUUUAAAUUGAAUAACAUGACUUUAAAGAAGAUAUGGGAAACUUCAACUCCCAGAAAAAUGAAGUAGAUACAUACUUCUCUAUUCCUUCCACUAAGUACAACUGAAAACCGUGACACUAUAUAUAAAACAAACAUAAGAAGACUCUGAAAGGCAAGAAUGGGUUUUCUUUUGCCUCCUUUAUUCCAGACUUGUAACUGAAGAAGCCAUCAACCAAGAAAUUUCCAACAGACCCAGAUGGAAAAAGUCCCAGUGAAAGCCUGUUCUUUAGCCAAAGGGGCCAGAAAAGAGCAAGAUAGCAGGACAAGAUCUCUGCCAUCAUGUGAGAGAGAGCCUGAGUUAGCCUGCUGGAUGGUCAAAGAUGAGUGGUGCAGCUAAGUGAAAGCCUGCUGACUUGUAGACAUAUGAGUAAGGCCAUGCUUGAUCACCUGGCUGCCAGCUGGCCUGCCAACUAAUUGCAGGUACUUGAAAGAGUCCAGCAGAGAUCAGCCACCCCAGGUCAAAUAAACACCCAGCCCCCUCCCUGAGAAUGAUGAACUAAAUAAAUGUCUUAAGUACUAAGUUUUGGGUGUUUGCUACAUAGCAAAAGCUAAUUGAUACUGUUCCCAAGGAGUGGAAAACUUCUGUAACAAAAAACAAAAAAUUCUGGCAUUGGUUUUGGGAUUGGGCAAUGGGUAGAGGCUAGAAAAAUGGCAAGGAAGCUGCCAUAGCAACCUAGAAAAAUGGCAACCCAUGCUAUAAAAUAGGGCAAUUGGUCAAUAAUUUUUGAAGUGGUUUGUUAUGCAGCAAUAGCCUACUGAUACACCAUGUGAAUUAUAGCAAGGAAUAGCUAAGGCAAAACAAAACAUUGGAUGAGUAGCAUAGUUCAUUCUAAAGAACCACUAAGGCUUGCUCAGGAAUAUGUACUAAUUCAGGUGGCAUCUGUUAACUAUCACUGAGCAUAAUAUUGGAGGAUAAAUCUGCUUUGCUUAUUGCCACCCCCGUAGCUUAGAAGCUACUCCUAAAACAGCAAGGAUGUCACUGUGGCAGUGGGCAAGGAUUAAUUCCCUCAUUUAUUUAUUCAUUUAUUAAUUCAACAAA